GGUCAUCUGGUAUUCUAUGGCUGUCAAGCAUUUGUGUGAAAAAUUGCACAUGUUCCUUCAUACUUUGUUCAGUUAAAGUGAACUUUAUGGCAUUUGUAUGGCACCUAAACUUUCCUUCUUUUAGACGCCUAUGCAAUGUGCUCCUUGACAUAUGCAAGGCACUGGCUAGGUCACGGAUAGUAUGACGCUGUCUAAGUAGCACAUCUUUGAUGACAUCUGGGUUAAAUGGAAGUUUUUUACCGUCACAAUUUUUUUCUUAUUGGGAUCAAAAGUUGAAAUUCCACCACCAGUUUUUGCAUCUAGCUAUACACGCUGGACAACUCUUAACGACACCCCCAUAUCACUAGCAACAGAUUUCGUC
rnacentral:lncRNA from 1 species